UCCGGAAAAUGUCUUACGGCUUCAAAUUGGUAAGACAUUUUCCAUUCUUCUCUAAGCAGACAUUUUCCAUUCUCUUCUAAGCAGCAGACAUUUUUCAUUCCUCAAAGCUUCCGCCUCUCCUCCUCAUCUUUGCCUCGCCAUCUCUGUCUCUCAGCUUCAUCUUCCUUCUCCAUCUCUCUACUCCAUAGAUCUGUCGGGCUAUUGAGCACCCAACUUUUUCAGCACUUACAAGACCAUUGUGUGAUCUGUAUUCACUUAUUCCUCCUCUUCUAGUUGUAACGCAUAAGAAACGCAGGGUAUGUAGAUGUUUUUGUAGUUUAUGAUAUUCUGAAUGCCGUGGGUCUUAUUUACUGGAAUAAAUUGUUAAUGCUUUUAGUCCUUUGCAUUAUAAUUAAUUCCAUGGUUUAGUUUUAGCAUUGAGUUAAUGGAUUAAAAGGAAGUAUUGAGGUGAUUCUCCUUUGCAGUUUAACAUGGGGAAUGAUGUGUUGUCUUUUGGUGAUUUGAAUGUUUAUGGAAGUUGAGUUCUUCUAGUAAUGAGUUUGAUAGCUUUUAUGGAGGUAAUAAAGGGAAAGCUGUUGGUUUUUAUGGUGUUGAAGAUUGGGGUGAAACUGGUGGCAUUGAUCCCUUGCCUUCUGAUUAUGGAUUAGGCUCAGGAGUUGCAAUGGGCAAGCACUAGGUUUAAAGGCAAUUAGGAUUUUAUUGAUGUGCAUGUAUAAGUUUUUUAGCUAAUGUCUGGUUCAUCAUUUUUUGCUGCAGUGAAAUUUAUGCUAAUGUAUAAGAGACUUUAUGCUUGAGAUUUUGGACUCGUUUUCA